AAGCCUGAUGCAGCAACGCCGCGUGAGGGACGACGGCCUUCGGGUUGUAAACCUCUUUUAGUAGGGAAGAAGCGAAAGUGACGGUACCUGCAGAAAAAGCACCGGCUAACUACGUGCCAGCAGCCGCGGUAAUACGUAGGGUGCAAGCGUUGUCCGGAAUUAUUGGGCGUAAAGAGCUCGUAGGCGGUUUGUCGCGUCUGCUGUGAAAACCCGAGGCUCAACCUCGGGCCUGCAGUGGGUACGGGCAGACUAGAGUGCGGUAGGGGAGAUUGGAAUUCCUGGUGUAGCGGUGGAAUGCGCAGAUAUCAGGAGGAACACCGAUGGCGAAGGCAGAUCUCUGGGCCGUAACUGACGCUGAGGAGCGAAAGCAUGGGGAGCGAACAGGAUUAGAUACCCUGGUAGUCCAUGCCGUAAACGUUGGGAACUAGAUGUAGGGGCCAUUCCACGGUUUCUGUGUCGCAGCUAACGCAUUAAGUUCCCCGCCUGGGGAGUACGGCCGCAAGGCUAAAACUCAAAGGAAUUGACGGGGGCCCGCACAAGCGGCGGAGCAUGCGGAUUAAUUCGAUGCAACGCGAAGAACCUUACCAAGACUUGACAUAUACGAGAACGGGCCAGAAAUGGUCAACUCUUUGGACA
rnacentral:rRNA from 1 species